rnacentral:lncRNA from 1 species
GGCUAGGAAGGGUACUAGCACGUCCAGACCAAGCACGCAUGCAAAGCCGGGGAAGGGCUGGAGCGUCCUGACAGCUGAAGCUCACCGUGCAGAGCAACCGCUGUCCCAAUACCCUAGACAUGCACAGAAAGCCGCACCAGCCUCAGACAUCUCUGCGUUUCCAGCGCUCACCAGCGCGCAUCGGGCACCCCAGAAUCUCACGCCGACGAGCAUGGAUGGACUAAAAUUGGAAAGCCGAGGGACGGCAAGUGCCGGAGCAAUUCGGCAAGGGGAGCGUGCUGGCCAGCGGCACUGGCC